UCAUUUUAGGAUGAUAUCAGUUGAAAUGGCUGAAAAAUCAUAAAUACAACCAAUAAUAUAAUUUAAUGGCUUAUCACUUUUGACCAAUAGGUGGUGCUGUUUUCAAAUUGAUGUGAUGCGUUCUGUGUGAGGUGACAAUGACACACAAACAAAUUUUGGUGUCAUUAUGCCAAAGCUUUACAGAGAUACAGCCUCAGAAUCAUUUUGGCAUCAAGCCUAAAAUCUGUAGUGGCGCUGUACGAAAAUGGUUUUGUCUAUCGACACGAAAUCCAUAACUUUUAGUAAGCACAGUCUGAAGAUGAUUUGAAUCAAAUUUGGUGAAAAUCAGACCAACGGUCUAGGAGGAGUUUGAAAAAGUAUGUUUUGUACAUUAAUCAAAAUGGCGGAAAAGAAAGCUAAGCGAAGUGUGGUAUAAUUGAUAUGUAUGUUGUCGGCAUGUCACAAGGAAUAUUUUGAGACCAGUUUUAUUACUAUAGGCUAAUGCAAACAGAAAUUAUUAGCAUUUUUGGAAAUUUCAUUGUUAAUGUUUAAUGAAUGUAUUACUUCUGACCAAUAGGUGGCACUGUUACCAAAUUGAUGUGGCGUGGUCAGUGUGAUGUGACAAUGGCACAUAUAAAAUUUGGUGUCAAUAUUUCAAAGAUUUGCAGAGAUACAGCCUCAGAAGUAGUUUGGCAUCUUUCCAGCAAAUUCGUUGAUGUGCUUAACGAAAACCGUUUCGUAUAUCGACACGAAAUCCAUAACUUUUUGUCAGCAAGGUCUGAAGAUGAUCUGAGUCAAAUUUGGUGAAAAUCGGACUAACGGUCUAGGAGGAGUUCGAAAAAGUAGGUUUUCAACAUGAAUCAAAAUGGCGGACAGGAUGUUUGGCCAAUAUUGGAAUAAUGGGUAUCAAUGUUUUUGGCUUGACCCAAGGAAUCUAUUGAGAUCACUUUCAUUACAACAGGCUAAUGUAAGCUGAAGUUAUUAGCAUUUUUGUAAAUUUCUUUAUAACUUUUGACCACAAGGUGGCGCUGGCCCAAAAAUUUUUAUGUACAUUCAGGGCAUGGUGCCGAACAUUUUUGUAAUUAAUGUCGAAACGAUACGCUAAUCUGUUCUCAAGAUACAGCAUUUUAAAGCUAAAUUCAAAAUGGCCGACACCCAAAAUGGCUGACAUGGGAAAAUUGGAUAUGGUUCGACUCGGUAUGACACACCGAAUCUAAAGAGACCAGUUUUGUGAUUUUUGGACAAAUCAUUCAGACGUUAUAAAGAAAAAUAGCCAUUUUUCGUAUCUCCUGACCACUAGGGGGCACUGGACCGAAACACUGCAGUUAGCCUCAGGUCAUGCUUGUUAUAACACACACCAAGUUUGGUGUCAAUAUGCCAAACUGUUACGGAGAUAUAGCCUCACAUUGAUUUUUGCUAGCUUUUCGUAGAAUUCUUUCGCGUGUUAUUCGUGAACGGCUGGACGAAUCGACUUGAAUUCCAUAACUUUUUGCCAGCGUGGUCUGAAGAUGAUCUGGAUCAAUUUUUGUGACAAUCGGUGCAACGGCCUAGGACGAGUUCGAAAAAGUAGGUUUUACGAACAAUUGAGAAUAGCGAAAAAACUAAACCUUAC